rnacentral:rRNA from 1 species
AUUACUAGCAACUCCAGCUUCAUGUAGGCGAGUUUCAGCCUACAAUCCGAACUGAGACAAGUUUUUGAGUUUUGCUCCACCUCGCGGUAUUGCUUCUCUUUGUACUUGCCAUUGUAGCACGUGUGUAGCCCUAGACAUAAGGGGCAUGAUGAUUUGACGUCAUCCCCACCUUCCUCCCGGUUAACCCGGGCAGUCUCGCUAGAGUGCUCAACUAAAUGGUAGCAACUAACAAUAAGGGUUGCGCUCGUUGCGGGACUUAACCCAACAUCUCACGACACGAGCUGACGACAACCAUGCACCACCUGUCUUCCUGUUCCCGAAGGAACUUCCCCGAUUAAGGGUAAUGCAGGAGAUGUCAAGUCUAGGUAAGGUUCUUCGCGUUGCUUCGAAUUAAACCACAUGCUCCGCUGCUUGUGCGGGCCCCCGUCAAUUCCUUUGAGUUUUAAUCUUGCGACCGUACUCCCCAGG